UAGUGCUGCAAUGUAAGCAUUGCAGUUUCUCUAAAAACUGCAAUGAUUUACAUUGCAGGACUA
rnacentral:miRNA from 1 species